CAGCAGCUGCCGCUCCCCCGACCCUGGUCUGCAACUUAAACCACUGCUUGUCUAAAGAUGGAAACUGCCCACAUGGUAAACCUGCAGUCCAUCCAAGGGCCAGCAGCUCACUUCUCUGAUCCCUAAGGGAUCUGUCCAGCACCCAGGAAGGCUCACUCUCUCCAUCCGUCUUCAGCGGCAGAGACAGUUCCCCGUGCAGAGGACCUUCCUACUGAGCCCACGUGGUUGCAUCUCCCAGCUUUUUCCCUUCAGCUCUUUUCUGCUGGGAACCAUUGGUGUGGCGGGCUAGGUAGGAUCUAAAAUCCAGAGUCCAGGUUCUUGCCUCUGACUUAAAAACCUUCUAAGUGCAGGCACAAAGGCAACAUACAAAGCGAUAACGUUUAUUGAAAAGGUGAGGAAAUGAUGGACACACGUGGGCCAUGUUCAGGGACAGGGGGCGGGGAAAGGGGAAGGCGGGAGAGAGUGAAGAGUGGGAAGCGAGGGUGAGGCGUUCCUACCUUGCACCUUCUGUGUCCUCAGGAAGAGAGAGCGCCUUUCCUUGUUCUGAGCUUGGAAAGGGGACUGGUUGCAGAGGGCACCAACCCCAGGUCCCAGGGGAGAGGAGGUACCUGCUGGGCAAGGUAGUUGACUGACAAGGUGAGUGGAUAGAAUUACUUAGGGCAGCGGAGGUUUGGCUUUUGCAACUCCUGACUCUGAGAAUUCAACCCUGACUGCGAGCUGCAGAUGAAGAAAGAUGUGUGUUCCCGUCUGUUUCUGGGAAACUCCCCAGGUACAUGAGCAGGGAGAUGGAUCUGAAGUGGAGCAUCCAGGACUUGAAAUGGUGCCCACAUGGGAUUCUGCUGCUGUAGGUGGAGGUGUGACCUACUAUACCACGGCACUGUCCCCAGUGCCUCCGCUUACGUAGCCUUUGAGGUCCUCCCUUGGUUGGAUUUUGUCCAUUCAGCUACCGGGAUAAAUACACACAGCAAUUUCCCUUGCGCAUUUGCUGCGGGCAUUCUCAUUUUGGCACAGAACUUAGAGGACAAUGACUGAAAUCGUUCCCCAUUAUCUGCCUCUCAUCCCCACUGCCCUUCAAGCCCCAGGCCCCAUCUGCAGGCCAGGCUGAAUGAAGAGGAGUUGAACACAUUGACCGCCCACUUCUGUUGUCCCUCCGCUUGUCUGUGGAGAAUAACCCUGCCACCAAGCCAGGCUCCAGAUACAGCGAAGGAGUAAGAUGUGCCAAUCUUUUUUUUUUUUUUUUUCUUAAGAUCUCCCUGUUUAUUUGUGGAAUUAGAAAUGGGAGAGAGAUAUCUUC